rnacentral:rRNA from 1 species
GCGGUAAUUCCAGCUCUGUAAGCGUAUACCCAAGUUGUUGCAGUUAAAACGCUCGUAGUCGGAGUUUGGCGGGCGAUCUGAGGCGUCCUACCGGACGGGUUCAGAUUGGCUGCCUUUGUGGAGGGGGGCUCAGCGGGGCUUUGUUGCAACGUUGUAGUCGCUGCCACCGUUUACUGUGAAAAAAUUAGAGUGUUCAAAGCGGGCGUUUGCCAUGAAUACCUUAGCAUGGAAUAAUAGAAUAGGACCUGUUUCCUGUUUUGUUGGUUUGUGAGGGACGGGUAAUGAUUAAGAGGGACGGUUGGGGGCAUUUGUAUUCCGGCGUCAGAGGUGAAAUUCUCGGAUU